GAAAUAAAAACAGAGAAACAAGCCACAUGCGCAACAUCGUAUCAGAAUUCAAAAUAUCAAACCGCCAUGGCUGCUGCUACCCUCUCGCAAUGCAGUUUCUCUCCCGCCAUAACUUGUCUGAAAUCAAAUCCCAAACUCAAACCCAUUAAUUCACUUCUCUGCCCUGACAUUUUACAAACCCAUUUGUUUCUCCAACACAAAUGCCAGGUCACACUCUCUUACUAAAGUCUCUCUAAAUGUUCGAACUUUACUACUAUUAAACUCUUAAAAAUCAAAUCUAUCUUAACUCUAACUUGUUUUUUUGUCUGCUUUCCUUUUUGGGCGGGUUGAGAAUUUCUCAAACAAAAGCAGCAUUACCUAAACUGUCGCAUUGGUUAGUUGUGGUUUCUGGGUUAGUGGAUGGCAAUUCUGAGACAUACCCAGAAGCAGGAUCAAGUGAUUUGAAUGAGGAGGGUGCAGCCACUGACAUAAAACUGCCAAGGAGGAGUUUGCUUGUGCAAUUUACUUGUAAUGAAUGUGGCGAGAGGUCUCAGAGGCUCAUUAAUCGUUUAGCCUAUGAACAGGGGCUUGUUUUUGUGCAGGUACUCAUCUGUUCUAAUGGGCUGUUAGAAUGACAAUUUUUUGCUAUAUGUUUCUUACCAGUAAGCAUUUAUCCUGUUAUAUUAAAGGCCAGCAAUGCACUGUCCUUUUGACUUAAAAAGGAAAAGGAAAAGGAAAAAAGAGUAUUCAGAACUGAUUUUUCUUGGGAAAGUAUAGUCUAAAACUUCCAAUAACAAGCCUUUAAUGUUUUAUGUUCAAACUGAAUGCUCCCUAAAGAAAUGAUACGAGUUAAUAUAGAAAUAUAGAGGACCUCAAAAGUAAUAUGAAGUACUAGAAGAAAAUAGAAGCCCAUCACUUUUCCAUAAGGAAAUGUUGUCAAUGUUAUUAAUGAUCAACAUGUUUUCAAAAUUUUCUUAAUAAAAAUUAACUUAAAUAUCCAUAAGAUGUUUCUCAAUAACUGUUGGAAUAAUUGGAGCAUAUGUAAUUGCCAGGCAACUUAUUUAGUAUUUUGCAUGAGGUUGUUUCCCAAAUAACUAUAUUUAUUUGUUCAUGGGAUUGAACAUGGUUGAUUCACAAGUUCCUUUCUGCCUAGGGAAUUUUUUUUCAGGAGUGCUACUUUCUUCUUACUCGCUUUUGGGGAAGUUUGCUGAACCUUAAUUUGCCCUAGAACAUGAUAGAUACUCUUCAGGGAAGAACAGUUUCUGAUGCAAAACUGUGCAACUGAAAUUGAUUGCUUUUGUGUUUUUAUGUUGAAGAGUUACAACAGUUUUGUCCAUGGAAAUUUUUGUAUGCUCCUCGUAUUGUUACUGUUUUCGUUUUUUUAGAACUAUGAAGUAAAUUUCUAUUAUGUUUUCUUCUCUUGGAUAGUUUUGUUCAUGGUUAUAAGGUUCAUCUUUAUUGUGUACUCCAAUGAACUUAAAAAAUCCAAAAAUGUUGACAAUUUCUUGGCUUGCCUUUAUAAUACCUGUAAUCUGAAUUUCACACCGGUCUUGUUUGUACAUAUAAAGUAAUCUCUUUUCAUCAUAAAUAUAAUUUCAUGGCUUGGUAACAUUUCUAGAAACUGUAGCCUGUAACUACCAGCAAAUAGGCAAUAGCUAAAA